rnacentral:rRNA from 1 species
GACGAACGCUGGCGGCGUGCUUAACACAUGCAAGUCGAACGGGCCUUGUCCCCUUUUUUUUGGGGGUGGGGUUAGUGGCGAACGGGUGAGUAACACGUGAGUAACCUGCCCCUCACUUCUGGAUAACCGCUUGAAAGGGUGGCUAAUACGGGGUGUUCUGGCCUGCUCGCAUGGGUGGGUUUGGAAAGAUUCGACCGGUUUUGGUUGUUUUGGUGGGGGAUGGGCUCGCGGCCUAUCAGCUUGUUGGUGGGGUGAUGGCCUGCCAAGGCUUUGACGGGUAGGCGGCCUGAGAGGGUGGGCGGUCACACUGGGACUGAGACACGGCCCAGACUCCUACGGGAGGCAGCAGUGGGGAAUAUUGCACAAUGGGCGCAAGCCUGAUGCAGCGACGCCGCGUGAGGGAUGGAGGCCUUCGGGUUGUGAACCUCUUUCGCCAGUGAAGAAGGUCCUGCUCUUUGUGGUGGGGUUGACGGUAGCUGGGUUAAUGAAGCGCCGGCUAACUACGUG